rnacentral:rRNA from 1 species
UACGAGUGCCCCAAGCGUUAUCCGGAAUCAUUGGGCGUAAAGGGUGUGUAGGUGGCGCGGUUAGUCUUCUGUCAAAGCCCCGGGCUCAACCCGGGAUCUGCAGAGGAAACGGCCGUGCUCGAGGAUGCGAGGGGUGAAUGGAACUCAUGGAGUAGGGGUGAAAUCCGUUGAUAUCAUGGGGAACACCAAAAGCGAAGGCAAUUCACUGGCGCAUUCCUGACACUGGGGUGCGAAAGCAUGGGGAGCGAACAGG